GGGGUGUGGGGAUGGGGGGUUUUCUGGGGGGGUCAGCAGAGAGAGUUUGUACAAUGAGGCCAGGAAGUGGGUGUGGUCAGAGCAGCUUGACCGCUACAUCGAAACAACAGCCCCCACGACCUCGAGCCACCCCCACCACCCGCAGCCGCACAUGAAGAAGAUGGCCGCCCGCUAUCCGUCCGCCCCCACCACGGCCCAAAUCAAGCACGUGUCCUUCUACUCGCCCGACUACUUCACCCGCUCCGCCACCUCAAACUCUUUCGACGAACACAAAAUCAGAAGGGCAAGGUUCGAGUUGAUGAAUGGGGGGGUCAGUCAGGAGAGAUUAAUCGACGGUCGCUGUAAAACCCCCGAGAACCUGACCCCGAAACCCUCGUCCCUCGUCGGCAGCCGGACCUCGCUCGCCCUUUGCGUGAAAUCACAAUCGACGCAGACGGAAAAUUUCAUCGCGCGCGCGGGGGGCCGUCCGAAUAUCUCAGUCUGAGCCCAAGGGUUGCGCAGAGGUCCCGGAUGGUCUCCCAGCCCACCCAAACGAACGGACUCCCCCCCACCCCCACCAUCACCCCCCACC